CCUGUCACUUCCCCCUCAUAGCCCAGGCCCUGUCACUUCCCCCUCACAGUCCAGGCCCUGUCACUCCCCCUCAGAGCCCAGGCCCUGUCACUCCCCCUUUACAGCCCAGGCCCUGUCACUCCCCUCUCACAGCCCAGGCCCUGUCACUGCCCCCUAAGAGCCCAGGCCCUGUCACUGCCCCCUCAAAGCCCAGGCCCUGUCACUGCCCCCUCACAGCCCAGGCCCUGUCACUCCCCCCUCAGAGCCCAGGUCUUGUCACUCCCCCCUCACAGCCCAGGCCCUGUCACUGCCCCCUCAGAGCCCAGGCCCUGUCACUUCCCCCUCACAGCCCAGGCCCUGUCACUUCCCCCUCACAGACCAGGCCCUGUCACUCCCCCUCAGAGCCCAGGCCCUGUCACUGCCCCCUCACAGCCCAGGCCCUGUCAUUCCCCCUCAGAGCCCAGGUCCUGUCACUCCCCCCUCAUAGCCCAGGCCCUGUCACUCCCCCUCACAGCCCAGGCCUGUCACUCCCCCUCAGAGCCCAGGCCCUGUCACUGCCCGCUCAGAGCCCAGGCCCUGUCACUGGGGCACCUGCAGGAUGGAGUCCAUUCUGGGCCCCAACUCCCCAGUUGGCUUGCGGGUUCCGUCCUUGUACAGAGUCCCAACUUCAUGUCCCAGUUUGGUGACUGUUCUCGGUGCCUGGGAACCCAUUUACCCACUGGCUGUGCCAGCUGAGGGGAUGCGCUGGGUCCCCCAGUCCUGCUGGCCCGAGGGCAGGCCCCAGUGUUGGGGUGUUGGCCCUGUGGUGCGAGGCUUGUGCAUCCCCUCCCAGGUGGUGGCCGUGCCCCCCGGACUCCUGCUCUGCUCCCCGCAAGCGGAUCUGCUCUGCGACCCCAUCCCAGAAGCCAAGGCUACGUUCCAGUUCCAGCUGCCCCUGUCUGCCCGGCGCGCGGUUGCCCGUGUCCCGAAAGGUGGAAAACUAUGGGGGUACUUCUCGAGAAGAUUAGGCCAGCGCUCCCUUCAGCGUUGUCUUCUGGGGGAGCUGGGAGUCUGCUGA
rnacentral:lncRNA from 12 species